CUCCAAUUGGUUAAAAGUCCGCGUCUCCGUACUUUGCCUUUAUGGAAAGCAUGUUUCACGAAGAACUUCAUCACGGGUAGAAAGCUGAUUUAUGUAAAUUGCCUCUAUCUGCCAAGACUGGGAAUCACAGAUUUUAAAGAUAUGCAGGCCAUCUCCGCACAUGUACGCGAGCUUCUGGGGAUUACAGAGCCCCUGUGGAGUCGGUGCAUCACAGACCCUCCGCGGGACAGCAUGGGGCUGUUCUUGGAAGAGAAGAGUCGCACAGGUGAACGGGCAGACAACCUCACCUACAAACAGUUUCUCAGUGACAGGCGUCAGUGAGAAGCAAAGGUCGAAACCAAAAGUCAGCCGCGGUAAUAAAAGAA